GCUGCUUUUCGAAGUGGCCUUUUUCGUUGACGAAAAAGAUCUCCAAACCUUUGUCGGCGCGGCUACUUGCCGCGCUCUUUUUUU
rnacentral:ncRNA from 1 species